UUUUUAGAAUGAAAACAAUAAAAAACAAAAAUUUCUAAAUAAAUAAUAGUUGCGAGUGCGUUUGUUUUGUGAAAAUAGGUAAAUUUUAAUAUAAUAAUUAUAUUGUUUUUAAAUGUGUGGGUGUAAUUUUGAAUAAAAGUAAUAUAUAAUAUAAUAAAAUAAUGCAAAAUGUUGUAUUGAUAUCCCACGAUGAUUUUGCUUGAGCGUUAUAUACCUGAAAGACUAACCUCAGAAACGAGCAAAGCAUUGACUCGCUGUGGGCGGCCAUAUUGAAUCGUGAUAUGGAGCCGCAAUUAAGGCCGAGUAGGCCACCCGGACGAGAGAGCACCUAAGCGAUAAGAAUCAAAUUCAAAAAUUCGCAUAACGAAGCCAAUUAAAAUUAUCGAAGGAUGUUGGAUGACUUAUAGAAGAGUGUCUUAGUUACCGGUGUUACGCAAUCGAUUGGUCUAUUCAAGUUGAAUUCAAACCACCACCAACAACAGGAACAGCAACAACAGCAACAACAACAACAACAACAACAUCAACAAAGUCAGGCUUAUUGAAAUAUUUAAAAUUGAAUUGAAAUUUAAAUCAAGAAUGGAAGAUAGAUGAUCAUCUUCAAAACAAUAGGACAAUCAGAAAAUUUAACUUUCGUUUGGAUGUUGAGAGAGAGAGAAUUAUAAAAACGAUAAGAUGAUUAUUUUAUUUUAUUUUUUUUUUUAUUUUCGUCUAGUUACUAUUUUUCUCUCUGUACUCGUAUAUGGAAGCACUUUCAAAAACCGGAAAAAUAUUAUAUUUUUUUUUAUUUUGAGAAACUGAGGGACCAGUGGAGAACGGCCAUUAGUAGGCAUUUUGUGUGGUCCAAGGUGAAUACAAGUGACGCUUCUAUGCAAAUUUUGAACUACCGCAAUAAAUACUAAAACGGUGCUUUUUUUUUUUUGGUGUAAAAAGGCCGUACAGGAGCAAGAAUUUCGCAUUAAUUCUUCUUUUAGAAGCUUCUUCAAAAAAAUAAAAUAAAUAAAAAAAUAUAUAGAUAACUAAAAUAAAUGAGUAAAUAUUAUUUUGA